rnacentral:rRNA from 1 species
UUGCUACUCUGCUGACGAGCGGCGGACGGGUGAGUAAUGCUUGGGAAUAUGCCUUAUGGUGGGGGACAACAGUUGGAAACGACUGCUAAUACCGCAUGAUGUCUACGGACCAAAGUGGGGGACCUUCGGGCCUCACGCCAUAAGAUUAGCCCAAGUGGGAUUAGCUAGUUGGUGAGGUAAUGGCUCACCAAGGCGACGAUCCCUAGCUGGUUUGAGAGGAUGAUCAGCCACACUGGGACUGAGACACGGCCCAGACUCCUACGGGAGGCAGCAGUGGGGAAUAUUGCACAAUGGGCGCAAGCCUGAUGCAGCCAUGCCGCGUGUGUGAAGAAGGCCUUCGGGUUGUAAAGCACUUUCAGUAAGGAGGAAAGGUUAAGUGUUAAUAGCACUUAGCUGUGACGUUACUUACAGAAGAAGCACCGGCUAACUCCGUGCCAGCAGCCGCGGUAAUACGGAGGGUGCGAGCGUUAAUCGGAAUUACUGGGCGUAAAGCGUACGCAGGCGGUUUGUUAAGCGAGAUGUGAAAGCCCCGGGCUCAACCUGGGAACUGCAUUUCGAACUGGCAAACUAGAGUGUGAUAGAGGGUGGUAGAAUUUCAGGUGUAGCGGUGAAAUGCGUAGAGAUCUGAAGGAAUACCGAUGGCGAAGGCAGCCACCUGGGGUCAACACUGACGCUCAUGUACGAAAGCGUGGGGGAGCAAACAGGAUUAGAUACCCUGGUAGUCCACGCCGUAAACGAUGUCUACUAGAAGCUCGGGUCUUC